CCUACGGGUGGCAGCAGUGAGGAAUAUUGGUCAAUGGGCGUAAGCCUGAACCAGCCAAGUCGCGUGAGGGAUGAAGGUUCUAUGGAUCGUAAACCUCUUUUAUAAGGGAAUGCAGUGCGGGACGUGUCCCGUAUUGUAUGUACCUUACGAAUAAGGAUCGGCUAACUCCGUGCCAGCAUCCGCGGUAAUACGGAGGAUUCGAGCGUUUUCCGGAUUUAUUGGGUUUAAAGGGUGGGUAGGCGGCCUUUUAAGUCAGCGGUGAAAGUCUGUGGCUCAACCACAGAAUUGCCGUUGAAACUGGGAGGCUUGAGUAUGUUAGAGGCAGGCGGAAUGCGUGGUGUAGCGGUGAAAUGCGUAGAUAUCAGGAAGAACACCGAUUGCGAAGGCAGACUGCCAGGCCAUGACUGACGCUGAUGCACGAAAGCGUGGGGAUCAAACAGGAUUAGAUACCCGAGUAGUC
rnacentral:rRNA from 1 species